CUGCGCCACGAGUAGGAGCCAUAAUUAUUGGGUUUAAAGCGUCCGUAGCCGGUUUGAUAAAUCCUUUGUGAAAUGGUACGGCUUAACCGUACCACGUGCAGGGGACACUAUCAAACUUGGGACCCGGAGGAGCAUGAGGUAUUUCAAGGGGAGCGGUAAAAUGUUAUAAUCCUUGGAGGACCAUCGGUGGCGAAAGCGUCAUGCUAGAACGGAUCCGACGGUGAGGGACGAAAGCCAGGGGAGCAAACAGGAUUAGAUACCCGCGUAGUCC
rnacentral:rRNA from 1 species